rfam:Helianthus annuus linkage group 9, whole genome shotgun sequence.
UUAAUUUAAUUAACGCGUGUGAGAAUACAUAUUAAAAUCUUGUAAGCUAGCAUUAAUUCAUUUUAGCCUAUUUUCUCUUAUCCAUUUAAACUUUAAAUUAAUCGUCGGUCAGUCAUACGGUGGUGAAUCCGUUCCCUGGCCUUGUACACACCGCCCGUCACACUAUGGGAGCUUGCCAUGCCUGAAGUCGUUACCUUAACCGCAAGGAGGGGGAUGCCGAAGGCAGGGCUAGUGACUGGAGUGAAGUCGUAACAAGGUAGCCGGACUGGAAGGUGCGGCUG